rnacentral:rRNA from 1 species
GAUGAACGCUAGCUACAGGCUUAACACAUGCAAGUCGAGGGACCGGCGCACGGGUGAGUAACACGUAUCCAACCUUCCCUUUACUCGUGGAUAGCCUUUCGCAAGUAAGAUUAAUACCCGAUAUCAAGGAUGGGGAUGCGUUCCAUUAGGUUGUUGGUGAGGGAACGGCUCACCAAGCCUUCGAUGGAUAGGGGUUCUGAUAGGAAGGCCCACUGCAUUGGAACUGCGACACGGUCCACAAGCCUACGCGGGGGAGGAGUGAAGAAGAUAGGUCAAUGGGCGCUAGCCUGAACAAGCCACGUAGCGUGAAGAAGGAAUGCUUAUGGGUCGUAAACUUCUUUUAUAGAAGAAUAUGUAUUAUAUGAAUAAGGAUCGGCUAACUACGUGCCAGCAGCCGCGGUAAUAC